UGGGGAAUAUUGGACAAUGGGGGCAACCCUGAUCCAGCCAUGCCGCGUGAGUGAUGAAGGCCCUAGGGUUGUAAAGCUCUUUCGACGGGGACGAUAAUGACGGUACCCGUAGCAGAAGCCCCGGCUAACUUCGUGCCAGCAGCCGCGGUAAUACGAAGGGGGCUAGCGUUGCUCGGAAUCACUGGGCGUAAAGCGCACGUAGGCGGAUCUUUAAGUCAGGGGUGAAAUCCCAAGGCUCAACCUUGGAACUGCCUUUGAUACUGGGGAUCUCGAGUCCGGAAGAGGUGAGUGGAACUGCGAGUGUAGAGGUGAAAUUCGUAGAUAUUCGCAAGAACACCAGUGGCGAAGGCGGCUCACUGGUCCGGUACUGACGCUGAGGUGCGAAAGCGUGGGGAGCAAAC
rnacentral:rRNA from 1 species